rnacentral:lncRNA from 1 species
UAUAUAGAUUCGUGAAGUUUCCAUUUCUUUAUUAAAAAUUAUAUAGAAAAAGCAACUUUAUGUUGUAUAGGUGUAAUGUACCACCAUUCAUUAGCCUUUGUAGCCCACAUGUUAGUGCCAAAUUGGGGUGUUGCAAAAAAAUUCCCCCAAAAGUAUUGGUCUGGCUUACAACACCACACGUUGAAGAUAUUUGCAUUGCAAGGUGCUGCAAAAGGAUACCACUGAAGAAAUCUUGAUCAGUAAGCAAGUAAAGAAUGAUUCAAAUGAUGACAACAAGAAGUGCUAGGCUGAUGCUAUCUGAAGCUAUGAGAGAUCAUAUAUAAUAUAAAUAGUUAUAAGUAUUAGACUUAAGUAAUAAAUUUAUUAUGUCCACUGGUUGUAAGAAUAUAAUGACAAGAUCUAACAAAAGUUAGAUGUUAUGUGUGAUGGCGGCUGCUUUGAAGUUGUCCUCUUUUGAAUUAUUCUGAGCAAUUUUGGGAAAUGGAUAAGAUGUGGAAAAUCUUAUACUAGAAAAUCAGAGGCAUUAGUGACAUCAAAAUGGCUGGUUCUAUCAAAUAAAAUCAAAAAAAUCUAGAUGCUCUGUUUUAUGCUAGAAAAAGAACUAGAAGGGAGAGUUUUGAUAGCACCUACUUGAGAGUUUUUUGCCCUGGAAGAAUCAACAAGUUCAAAUUUCUUUCCUCUAUUGGAGUGUCAGGAGGUUUUCUAGUGGCUUGGAACGAAAAUUAUUUCCAUGGGCAAAAAUUGUUUGAGAAUAGGUUUUCUAUUUUCAUCCUAUUCCCCUCAGUUCAUACUAGAAAUCCUGGGUUCUAAAAAAUAUGUAUGGGCCUUGUCAACCUAAAGCCAGAUCCAAAUUCAUGGAAUGUUACAGAUGAAUUGCAUUGGGUUUGUGCCCCAUCAGAACUAAUUAAGGAUAAUCGUGCUCAUGUAUUUUUUUCAAGAAACUAUAUUCAAAUCUCUUGAGCCAUUGGCCAUGAUAUGGUUAAUAUUUCUAUGAGAGCAAGGCACUCUACCAACCAACCUUUCUUUUUUGAAGUUGUCUUUUUGGCUUGGUGGAACAUAUGGAUAGUCGGCAAUGAAAAAAUCUUUAGGAAUGGAAGGCCUUCUUUUGCUAAGUGGGAAGGUGGUUGUAUCCAUGAUAUAUCCCUCCCGGUUCAUAGAAUCAAGGGUAAAUACAAGGAGAAACUGGUCAAAUGGAUCUCUUUCCUACCCUCAUAGGUAUUAGUCCCUAGGUCAUACUUUUGUUUUGGCGAUUGUAUAUAUCUAGCCUUGCGUCGUACAUAUUUGGCUCUCUGGCUUUUCUUAAUAAAGUGAGGGUUGUGGGGCUGUUUCCCUAGAUUAUAUGGUCAACAACAAUUGAUGAAUUAUUUUUAAGGCAUUCAAGCUCCAAAUUAUAUUGAUUGACUAGUGAUGGGAGAUUUUGACUAUAUAAGAUAUCCAGAAAAAAUAAAUAGAGCUCGUGGAAAUAUUAAUGAUAUGAUGAAGUUAAAUGAGGCCAUAAGUACCCUUGGGUUAGCUGAAUCCUCUUAAAGGUAGAAAUUUCUGUUCAAGGAAUAUGCACGAGGCACCUCUACUUCAAAAACUUGACUGGUGUUGUUCCUCUAAAUCAUGGGUGUUACCCUAACACAAUGGCUCUUCCUUUGUAAAAAUCAAUCCCGAAUCACGUUCCUUGCAUCAUUCAGGUCGGAACAAAUAUCCCUAAAUCAAACUUUUCAUAUUUGAAUUUUUUAGGACGGAGCAUAAUGGUUUGAAGAAGGUAGUUAAGAGUGACAUUAAGAGUCCAGUGCUUUGCAAUGCAAAAGCAAUCACAAAUAAAUUCAAAACACUCGAAAAGGGGCUUAAAUUUUGGUCAAAUCUCUCUUAAACCUUUCAGCCACAUUUCAGAAUUUCAAUUUAUUGAUCAGGUUCGUUGACAUGCUCGAAGAGUUUAGAGACCAACCAACUAUGGAACAUAAUGGAAGAAAAUUUCUGAAAAGUCACUUGUUUAACUUGUUUUAAUACUGAAAUACCUAUCGGAAACAAGUAAAUUUUGGAUACCAAAAUACCAAAUUCUUCCAUGCCAAGGGCAUAAGUAAGUAUAUACUCAAUCACAUUAUUUUGCUGCAUGACAAAAUGGGACAGGAGCACAAUGAGGAUCAGUGCAAGGCUGAUAUCGUUGAGGGAGCUUUCCAUCUUAGGCUUGGCUCUACCAAUCCAACGAGUACAUUUUUUCACAUGCACACCCUUCUUCAAAGAUUUGAUGAGAUACAUUGUCUUAAAGCACCAUUUACCAAGUGGAAAUUGAUGAAGUUAUAAAAAACAGCCUACUAACAAGGCUCUAGGGGAUGGUGGAUUUAAUGGGGAUUAUACCAAGGCAUGUUGGGACAUUAUCGCGGUUUAUUUAUACUUUCAUUGACGAGUUCUAUCAUUGCAUAAUCAAUCUUUAGUGCAUUAAAUCCUAUUUCACUACUCCAAUUCCCAAGAAAGGUAAUCCUCUAAGCACAUGGUAUUUCAAACCAAUAUCUCCGUUGAGAUGUUCCAUAAAUAAUAUUACAAGCUCCUGGCUAACUAACUUCACAAGCUCAUCCUAUAAUUGAUCCACACUAAUCAAUUUGGAUUUGUAAGAUCAAGGUCCAUACAUGCUUGUCUUGCCUGGGGUUUUAAAUUUCUAUUUCAAUGCCAACACACCAAGAAAGAGAUAUUGGUCCUCAAGUUAGAUUGUGAAAAGGAUUUUGAUAUGGCUGAUCAUUUACAAUUCUAAAAAUUCUAGUCACUAGGGGUUUUGUACAAAGAUGGCUUAACUAGAUCGAAAUGAUAUUUAGGUCUAGGACCUCAUCAGUAUUGCUUAAUUGCAUUCCUGAAAAGAUUUUCACUAUUUGAGAGUGUUGAUUUACUUCAAUAAAGUAAGGGUUGUGGGGCUAUCGUCUCACAGUAUAUGGUAAAAAUUGAUGGAAUGGUUUCAAGACAUUCAAGCUCGAGAUGAUAUUGAUUGGCUAGUGAUGGGAUAUUUUAACUAUGCCAGAUAUUUAGAAAAUAUAAAUAGAACUGGUGGAAAUAUUAAUGAUACGAUGAAGGAACAUGAGGCCAUAUGUACCCUUUGGUUAGUUGAAAUCCUCUUAUGGGCGGAAAUUUCCAUUGGAGCAAUAUGCAUGAUGCACCUCUACUUGAGAAACUUGCGUGUUGUUUUCCUCUGAAUCAUAGAUGUUACCCUGACACAAUGGCUCUUCCUUUGUAAAAAUCAAUCUCAUAUCAUGUUCCUUGCAUCAUUCAGGUCGAAACAAAUACCCAUAAUCAUAUUUUUCAGAUUUGAAUUUUUUGGCCGGGGCAUAGUGGUUUUAAGAAGGCAGUUAAGAAUGUGAUUAAGAGGACAACGAUUGCCAAUGCGAAAGCAAUCACAACUAAAUUCAAAAGACUCAGAAAGGGGCUUAGAAUUUGGUCCAAAUAUCAGUUAAACCUUUCAGACACUAUUAUAUUAAGAAUUCCAAUGUAAUAAUCAUGUUCGUUGACAUGCUGAAAGAGUUGAGAGACCUACUAACUGUGGAAUAAAAUGGAAGAUUUUAAAAAAUCAUUUGAUUAACUUGUUGUCAUACUGAAAUACCUAUUAGAAGCAAGUAAAAUUUGAAUAUGAAAAUACCAAAUUCUUCCAUGCCACGGCCACAAUUAAGUACACACCUAUUCACAUCGUUUUGUUGCAAGAUGAGAUGGGACAAAGCACAAUGAGGAUCAAUCCAAGUUUACUAUCCUUGGUAGAUCUUUCAAACUUAUCAAUCCAACGAGUAAAAAAAAUCACUUGCAAAACCUUCUUCAGAGAUCUAAUGAACUACAUUGUCUUCAAACACCAUUUAUCAAAAAGGAAUUGAUGAAGUUGUAAAAAAAACCUGCCUAGUGACAAGGUUAUAUGGUCUGGUGGAUUUAAUUGGCAUUUUGUCAAGGCCUGCUGGGACAUUAUCUCAACUGAUUUAUAUUCUUGUCGUCGGUUUCUGUCAUUGCAUAAUCAAAUAUUUAGUGCAUUAGUUCCUCUUUCACCAUUCUGAUUCCCAAGAAAGGUAAUCCUGGAAACCCAGGAGAUCUCAGACCAAUAUCUCCAUUGAGAUGUUCCAUAAAAAUAUUACAGGAUCCUCGCUAACAAACUUUACAAGCUCAUCCUAAAAUUGGUCCACACUAAUCAAUUUAGAUUUUUAAGAUUAAGGUCUAUGCAAGAUUUUCUUGCCUGGGCUUUAAAUUUUCUAUUUCAAUGUUAGCAGACCAAGAAAGAGAUAUCGGUCCUCAAGUUAGACUUUGAAAAGUCUUUUGAUAUGAUUGAUCAUGAUACAGUUCUAGAAAUUCUAGCAACUAGGGGUUUUCGAAAGAGGUGUCUUAACUAGAUCAAAAUGAUAUCUAGAUCUAGGACCUCAUCAAUCUUGCUUAAUUGCAUUCCUGAAGCAAUUUCAAUUUAUGAGAGGGGUUAGGAAAGGAGACCCUCUCUUCCCUCUCAUUUGUGUUGUGGUCACAGAUUUACUUUAGUCCAUUCUUAGUAAAUGUAUGCACAAUCAAUUAAUUCAUACUCCUAUGGAAACCAACUCUUGCCCUGAUUUUCAAGGGAUACAAUAUACCGGUGACACUCUUUGGGUACUUCUAGCCGAAGAGGCU